UACGUAGGGUGCGAGCGUUGUCCGGAAUUACUGGGCGUAAAGAGCUCGUAGGUGGUUUGUCGCGUCGUCUGUAAAAUUCCGGGGCUUAACCUCGGGCGUGCAGGCGAUACGGGCAAUACUUGAGUGCUGUAGGGGAGACUGGAAUUCCUGGUGUAGCGGUGAAAUGCGCAGAUAUCAGGAGGAACACCAAUGGCGAAGGCAGGUCUCUGGGCAGUUACUGACGCUGAGGAGCGAAAGCAUGGGUAGCGAACAGGAUUAGAUA
rnacentral:rRNA from 1 species